CCUACGGGUGGCAGCAGUGGGGAAUAUUGCACAAUGGGGGAAACCCUGAUGCAGCGACGCCGCGUGAAGGAAGAAGUAUUUCGGUAUGUAAACUUCUAUCAGCAGGGAAGAAAAUGACGGUACCUGACUAAGAAGCACCUGCUAACUACGUGCCAGCAGCCGCGGUAAUACGGAGGGGGCAAGCGUUACUCGGAUUCACUGGGAGUAAAGGGAGCGUAGGCGGUUUAGCAAGUCAGAGGUGAAAGCCUGGGGCUCAACACUGGGACUGCAUUUGAAACUGUUGAACUAGAGUAUAGGAGAGGUAAGUGGAAUUCUUAGUGUAGCGGUGAAAUGCGUAGAGAUUAGGAGGAACACCAGUGGCGAAGGCGGCUUACUAGACUGUAACUGACGCUGAGGCUCGAAAGCGUGGGGAGCAAACAGGAUUAGAUACCCGGGUAGUC
rnacentral:rRNA from 1 species